CCAUGUAUAAUGUGAUCCGAUGCCC
rnacentral:piRNA from 1 species